rnacentral:rRNA from 1 species
CUAAGAAUCUUCCGCAAUGGGCGAAAGCCUGACGGAGCGAUGCCGCGUGAGCGAAGAAGGCGGGAACGUUGUAAAGCUCUUUUCUCGGGGAGGAAUAAGGAGGGGAGGAAAUGCCCCUUUGAUGACGCGAACCGAGGAAGAAGCCCCGGCUAAUUACGUGCCAGCAGCCGCGGUAACACGUAAGGGGCGAGCGUUGUUCGGAAUUAUUGGGCGUAAAGGGCGUGUAGGCGGCGAUGUAAGCCUGGUGUGAAAGACUUCAGCUUAACUGGAGAGCCGCGCUGGGAACUAUGUUGCUUGAGUAUAGGAGGGGGAGCUGGAAUUCCAGGUGUAGGGGUGAAAUCUGUAGAUAUCUGGAAGAACACCGGAGGCGAAGGCGAGCUCCUGGCCAUAUACUGACGCUGAGGCGCGAAAGCGUGGGGAGCGAACA